rnacentral:rRNA from 1 species
GACGAACGCUGGCGGCGUGCUUAACACAUGCAAGUCGAACGGUAAGGCCCUUCGGGGUACACGAGUGGCGAACGGGUGAGUAACACGUGGGUGAUCUGCCCUGCACUUCGGGAUAAGCCUGGGAAACUGGGUCUAAUACCGGAUAGGACCACUGCCUGCAUGGGUGGGGGUGGAAAGCUUUUGCGGUGUGGGAUGGGCCCGCGGCCUAUCAGCUUGUUGGUGGGGUGAUGGCCUACCAAGGCGACGACGGGUAGCCGGCCUGAGAGGGUGACCGGCCACACUGGGACUGAGAUACGGCCCAGACUCCUACGGGAGGCAGCAGUGGGGAAUAUUGCACAAUGGGCGCAAGCCUGAUGCAGCGACGCCGCGUGAGGGAUGACGGCCUUCGGGUUGUAAACCUCUUUCAGCACCGUCGAAGCGCAAGUGACGGUAGGUGCAGAAGAAGGACCGGCCAACUACGUGCCAGCCGCCGCGGUAAUAC